GACGAACGCUGGCGGCGUGCUUAACACAUGCAAGUCGAACGGAAAGGCCCUGCUUUUGUGGGGUGCUCGAGUGGCGAACGGGUGAGUAACACGUGAGUAACCUGCCCUUGACUUUGGGAUAACUUCAGGAAACUGGGGCUAAUACCGGAUAGGAGCUCCUGCUGCAUGGUGGGGGUUGGAAAGUUUCGGCGGGUGGGGAUGGACUCGCGGCUUAUCAGCUUGUUGGUGGGGUAGUGGCUUACCAAGGCUUUGACGGGUAGCCGGCCUGAGAGGGUGACCGGCCACAUUGGGACUGAGAUACGGCCCAGACUCCGACGGGAGGGAGAAGUGGGGAAUAUUGCACAAUGGGCGGAAGCCUGAUGCAGCGACGCCGCGUGCGGGAUGACGGCCUUCGGGGUGUAAACCGCUUUCGCCUGUGACGAAGCGUGAGUGACGGUAAUGGGUAAAGGAGCACCGGCUAACUACGUG
rnacentral:rRNA from 1 species